GCAGCACGGGAAGGGGGAGGGGGCAGGUUAGAGGGACCCGAAUUUAUGGGAAUUACGUUGUUGGACUCGCUCUGGCUCACCACAGGAAAAUCCUCCUCAUCUGAAUCUCUAGGCAAGGGGGGAUAGGAAAGAAAAAUGUCCACUUUUUCCUUCCAUGACUGAUAGCAAUGGGGCAGAAGAUUGAACUGUAAUUAUUGGCGGUGGCGCAGAUGAUUGAACCGUGACUGAUGACGGCAACGCAGUCGGUUGAAUGCACUACUCUGACCGGUGCUCCGGGGGCCCCUCCUGAGAUCGUAUAUAACCCAACGCUGCUUUUUCAUGAACGUCGCAAGAAGAGCCACCGGCCACAGAUGCAUUUGCAAAGAGCAAGUUUUAUUUUAGUUACCUCUCUACUGGGGGAUCUCCGAAGCCGCACCUAAGCUCCCAGGCAGAGGUGACAGAAGCGGGGAUGCAGGCGCUGGUCAAGUUCAGCCCUUCUGGAAGAUCACUGGGCCUGCUGAGCUCGCCUGUAUUUCAAGGCAGGCGCAGCUUCCUGCUCUUUCUCACAACAAAGCAGGAAUCUCAUACAUAGUGAUGAGGUACCUGGAGUUUCUCACAGGCCUAUGUUAUCUAACACAGAGGUUUUACUCAUCAAGCACACAAGGUUGAUUUGCAACAAGAAAAUGACACAUUAGGUAUGAUGAUCCACCGUGGGCAUUCAAACUCACCAACAGAAUGCCCCCUUUUGACUUUGGAGGCAAGAGGUGACUGUACUAACACUCCAAAGUAGUUUGUCAGAUGACUGUGGUCACAGGCUGGAUUGUGAGGCAGUACACAUUCCCCUGAAAUCUGGAGCUUUCAAUGAGGAGAUUGAUGGCUCUUUAGCACCUUCUGUGCCCCACUGUGCCUGUCCCCACAUAUAUACACCUAGAAUGGUACCAAGGUGCUGUCAAUAAACUUCACCUCUACCAACUGAUGGGUCAGGAGGGGUGGGACCCUCGGUCAAUUGACAGGGUGCUUAACAAAGGAGGUGCCCAGACUAGCUGAGAAGCUUCUGGACUAUGUUGUAAUGCCCACAGCCACAUCUGGCCAAACAAUGAAACAGGGGUCCCGCCGAAGACCCCCUUUGAGUGGUCUUCUCGGAGCGGCGGGUCUGUAAACUGGAGUGCUUUCCUUAGACAGGAACACCGUCUAAGGAAACUUACUGGGAUUAAUGACACCUCACUUCUUUAUUUGAGUGAGUGACUGUUUCUUGUGAGUACCCUGAAGUAAAAGGCCUCUAGUUUUGUUUCUUGUGAGUGAAUACAUGCACAUUGUGGAUCCUCAUUAUUCUUAUGAUAUUGUAUUUAAAUAAUCUCCUUAGCUGAUAUCUGAACCUGUAUUUUCUGUUAUCAGAGUGCUCAGUAUGUGUAAUACCGUUGAAAUUGAAUUAUAGUGUUUAUGAGUGAUAUGAAGUAAAAUAACAUUCUUAGCUAAUGUGCAAGGGCUGAUUUAGGAUUUAGCCAGUACCGUGCAAAAUAAUUACAUAGUUUGUAAAAAUUAGGACUGUAAGACAAAAUUACUAACAUUAUCUAAUAGCAUAAAGUGGUUAGACCCUAAAACUUCAUUUUCAGCUCUCAAUCUGCAUAUAUGGGUUUUUGUGGGAAUUGGAUAUGCUUGUGUGAUGUUUUUUCUUGUAGUCCUUCAAAUCAUCUGCAGAAUGAUACAGAAUGCAAAGAAGAACAAAGCCAGGGUCCUUACUGCGCUCAUUGAGAACCUGAUGUUUAAAACAAAAAAGGGGAAAAUGUUGGAAAGAUGUGGGAAAGCAAGAUGUGCAGUUCCAGCCACCUGGAUGAUAAAGGAAGAUCAAUACUAACAUGACCAUCUGGACAGUCAAAGACAUAAUACUAAAAUAAUAAUAUAUAAAGGGCAUUGGACAGAUUACUUUGAAGUACGUUUCUUGUAAUUGUAAAAAGUUAUAGCCCAGACUCGUGAGAAUGGUAUCUUGGGCCGGAUAACCGCCCCCAAGUUUAUGGGAUGUGUGAAUGUCCUUGGGCCUGGUCUGUGAAUGAGUGGAAAAGCAAGUGAGACAAACAUCACAUGAGUUUAGUGUGUUCUUAACAACAAUCAGUGGAAAAGCACCUUUUUGUAAACAUCUUAGUCCAGGCCUGUACCUGUAAAUCCUAUAAAUUGUCAAUGGUGAAUAAAGGCAGCCUAGGCCUAGGUCAGCUCUCUGCUUGGCCAGGCUCUGCGCUCCUUCCUGAACAAGAUCUCUGCCUCUGCGUGAAUUUCUGUCUGCGUCCUGGUAUGCGUCAUUCCUAAUCGCUGCAAAGUAGACAAUAAAAUGUUUUUGUCUUCCUUU